UUGGAAUUGCUGUAUCUUAAAGAAUAUCAAGCAAAAAAGGUUAAUACCAUGUCCCAGUUUAGCAAAACUUAUGUGUUUCAUCCGUUUCAGGGAGGAGUUAUGGGUAUCUCCAUUGAGGUUCGUGAAAGCUUGAAGAUGCUAGACCAUGAAGGUUUCCCUAUACUUGGGAUAGAAUGGCAGAAAAUGGAAAAUCCUGAUCUCUGUAAGGC